ensembl:lncRNA
CUUCUUGUUCCCAGCCUAAAUCCUUUCUCCUUUUCAUCUCUCUCUGAGGAUACAAACAGGAUUCUGCUGCCCCUGACCACUCUGCAAGUCCAGCAUAUUAUGAAGCAUUUCCAAAUCUUCUGUCAUCACAUAAUGAACUCUGCAGAAUACAAUCAACAGCUGUUGUGCUGCUGGCAAGGGGGACGUUGCAUGUAAGCUGCCUUUCAACUCAAAAGAAAGACCCUAAAAAAAAACCAAAACAUUAAGAGAUUGAUUCUCCUCCCAAAGUUAAAGUAUGGCAUGAAAAGUGGAUCACUGCUUCAAAAUGGACCACCUGAUUUAAUGGCAGCUGGCCAUUAAUUCUCUGGAAAUUGUUUUCCACCUCAAAUGCUGUUCUUUAAACAAAAGUCUGC